CCUACGGGAGGCAGCAGUGAGGAAUAUUGGUCAAUGGGCGCGAGCCUGAACCAGCCAAGUAGCGUGAAGGAUGACUGCCCUACGGGUUGUAAACUUCUUUUAUAAAGGAAUAAAGUGAGGCACGUGUGCCUUUUUGUAUGUACUUUAUGAAUAAGGAUCGGCUAACUCCGUGCCAGCAGCCGCGGUAAUACGGAGGAUCCGAGCGUUAUCCGGAUUUAUUGGGUUUAAAGGGAGCGGAGAUGGGUUGUUAAAUCAGUUGUGAAAGUUUGCGGCUCAACCGUAAGAUUGCAAUUGAUACUGGCAGCCUUGAGUACAGUUGAGGUAGGCGGAAUGCGUGGUGUAGCGGUGAAAUGCUUAGAUAUCACGAAGAACUCCGAUUGCGAAGGCAGCUUACUAGACUGCCACUGACACUGAUGCUCGAAAGUGUGGGGAUCAAACAGGAUUAGAUACCCGGGUAGUC
rnacentral:rRNA from 1 species